UACAGAGGGUGCAAGCGUUGUUCGGAUUUACUGGGCGUAAAGCGCGUGUAGGCGGUGACAUAAGUCGGAUGUGAAAUCCCCGGGCUUAACCUGGGAACUGCAUUGGUGACUGCAUUGCUGGAGUAUGGCAGAGGGGGGUGGAAUUCCACGUGUAGCAGUGAAAUGCGUAGAGAUGUGGAGGAACACCGAUGGCGAAGGCAGGUCUCUGGGCUGACACUGACGCUCAUGCACGAAAGCGUGGGGAGCAAACAGG
rnacentral:rRNA from 1 species